GACGAACGCUGUCGGCGUGCUUAACACAUGCAAGUCGAACGGAAAGGCCCUGCUUUUGUGGGGUGCUCGAGUGGCGAACGGGUGAGUAACACGUGAGUAACCUGCCCUUGACUUUGGGAUAACUUCAGGAAACUGGGGCUAAUACCGGAUAGGAGCUCCUGCUGCAUGGUGGGGGUUGGAAAGUUUCGGCGGUUGGGGAUGGACUCGCGGCUUAUCAGCUUGUUGGUGGGGUAGUGGCUUACCAAGGCUUUGACGGGUAGCCGGCCUGAGAGGGUGACCGGCCACAUUGGGACUGAGAUACGGCCCAGACUCCUACGGGAGGCAGCAGUGGGGAAUAUUGCACAAUGGGCGGAAGCCUGAUGCAGCAACGCCGCGUGCGGGAUGACGGCCUUCGGGUUGUAAACCGCUUUCGCCUGUGACGAAGCGUGAGUGACGGUAAUGGGUAAAGAAGCACCGGCUAACUACGUGCCAGCAGCCGCGGUGAUACGUAGGGUGCGAGCGUUGCCCGGAUUUAUUGGGCGUAAAGGGCUCGUAGGUGGUUGAUCGCGUCGGAAGUGUAAUCUUGGGGCUUAACCCUGAGCGUGCUUUCGAUACGGGUUGACUUGAGGAAGGUAGGGGAGAAUGGAAUUCCUGGUGGAGCGGUGGAAUGCGCAGAUAUCAGGAGGAACACCAGUGGCGAAGGCGGUUCUCUGGGCCUUUCCUGACGCUGAGGAGCGAAAGCGUGGGGAGCGAACAGGCUUAGAUACCCUGGUAGUCCACGCUGUAAACGGUGGGUACUAGGUGUGGGGUCCAUUCCACGGGUUCCGUGCCGUAGCUAACGCUUUAAGUACCCCGCCUGGGGAGUACGGCCGCAAGGCUAAAACUCAAAGGAAUUGACGGGGCCCCGCACAAGCGGCGGAGCAUGCGGAUUAAUUCGAUGCAACGCGUAGAACCUUGCCUGGGUUUGACAUGGAUCGGGAGUGCUCAGAGAUGGGUGUGCCUCUUUUGGGGUCGGUUCACAGGUGGUGCAUGCCUGUCGUCAGCUCGUGUCGUGAGAUGUUGGGUUAAGUCCCGCAACGAGCGCAACCCUUGUUCACUGUUGCCAGCACGUUAUGGUGGGGACUCAGUGGAGACCGCCGGGGUCAACUCGGAGGAAGGUGGGGAUGACGUCAAGUCCUCAUGCCCCUUAUGUCCAGGGCUUCACGCAUGCUACAAUGGCUGGUACAGAGAGUGGCGAGCCUGUGAGGGUGAGCGAAUCUCGGAAAGCCGGUCUCAGUUCGGAUUGGGGUCUGCAACUCGACCUCAUGAAGUCGGAGUCGCUAGUAAUCGCAGAUCAGCAACGCUGCGGUGAAUACGUUCCCGGG
rnacentral:rRNA from 1 species